AGUCCGUGAAACUCACCCCAAUUCACACUCCUCAAUGCAGAUUAGUCGAUAUCAAGAGCUUCGAGGUUGAAGGAAGACUUUGAAGAACCUUUAGUGACUGUAAGAGUUUGUCUUGUAAAGUCAGUUUAAUUAUGUUAUAGUGAUGUAACGUAAAGGAUCUUGUAAGCCUCAUGACUUGUAAUUUUAUAUAGGAAUGACUGAAUCUUAAGUUUUUACUCAUUACUAUAUAAAUUUAUCAGGUUAUGUGUGUGAAGUAGCACUCAUUUCUCAACGGAG
rnacentral:lncRNA from 1 species